rnacentral:rRNA from 1 species
GACGAACCGUGCGAACGUUGUUCGGAAUCACUGGGCUUAAAGGGCGCGUAGGCGGCUCGCGAGGUCGGGGGUGAAAUCCCGCAGCUUAACUGCGGAAGGGCCUCCGAUACCGGCGGGCUGGAGGAAGGUAGGGGUGCGCGGAAUUCCUGGUGUAGCGGUGAAAUGACGCAGAUAUCAGGAGGAACACCGGUGGCGAAGGCGGUUCUCUGGGCCUUACCUGACGCUGAGGAGCGAAAGCGUGGGGAGCGAACAGG